UGAGAGGAAAUGGCAAUUGACUGAAGUUUUGAGGAGAACUUAGAAUCGGAAUGCUGGGAACGAGCAAAGCAGUGAACCGGCGGUGCCGCUGAACGCAGCGGCAGAAGAAUGGAGGAGGAGAUACUUUGAGCUACUGUCAUCAUUUUGUUUCCUCAGCUCUAUCCAGUUCCGACAAAAAAUCAUCUCUUUUUCUAUUUGGUUCGCCCGAACUGUACCGGCUACGGUGCUUUCUUUUUUCACAUUUGGUGUUCGUUUAAAUUAGCUUAUUUUAAGUAUUUUUAUGCCAAAAUAAC
rnacentral:lncRNA from 1 species